CAAUAAAAGUGGUACAUCUACACAAUGGAAUAUUACUCAGCUAUCAAAAACAAUGACUUUAUGAAAUUCAUAGGCAAAUGGAUGGAACUGGAAAAUAUGAACCUGAGUGAGGAUGAGCACCUGGCUGCCUUGUUCCAGAAGCUGGAGGAACCUGUUUGUUCUGUUAAGCAGGAAGAUGGGACACAGCAAUAUUUAGGGGAAUUGCUAUCUAUAUUAAUGGUGCCGGGCACAUUUAUACAUCUGGGUGAGAUUGCAAAUUUGGUUUGGAUAUUACAAAUGCUGUGAGCUGCAUAGUUCUCCUAAGCAAGGAGAUGGUCUUCAUCCUCCUUACCACUUCCACCCUUGCCUACCCCAGGGACUUUCUGACAAGAGAUGAAAUUGCUUCUUGUGGCUAUGAAGGUAGGUAUGGAGAAGCUAAGUGAGUUCUAUUUCUUAAUGGAUAGUUGAUUUUUUUUAUAUUUUUAGAAAGAUUAAGCCUAGC
ensembl:lncRNA